ensembl:lncRNA
AAAGCAAAUAGCUGUUUAAUUUUUUCUCUCUGACAAUCAGAAUCAAGCUCAGUUCUUCAAGACUAUUAUGAUUUCUUCAGCUUUCCAGAUUUUACUCCCUCUGAUGAGCACUAUCAAAAAACAAUGAAUUCCUCAUGGAUUGAGGACAAAAAAAGAAAAAAAGAAGCAAAACAAAACAAAACAAAACAGGAAAAAAAAAAAAAGAAUAAGAAGAAAGAAAUCUGACCACUAUGAACAAUGCAUUUAAUUCCCUCUUGUAUAUGUGGGAGAGAGGGCAUGCAGACUUGUGGAACUGGUUCCAAUCUCACUGUUGGUGAUGAGGUGGAGAAGAUGCGUUGCUUCUUACCAGGAGACUGGAAGAACCCAAAUGAAGAUGAAUAGAUUGUCUUACUUCAGUACGAAUCAUAGACUGUCUUGGGCUGGAAGGGACACUAAAGAUCAUCUAAUUCCAACCUUCUUGUUGAGAACAAAUUGCUGCAGACUGCAAAAAGGAGAGAUUCUCUUGGAAUUCCUCAAGCAUAUUGCUGGGAUGGUCAUGGGAACAAAGUCAUCUCUGCCAUAUAAGCAGUCAUACAAAGUCCCAGAGCAAGAUUUUCAUCAAUGGGCUGGACAGAAGCACAUCUGGCUGGUGGUUACACUUCAAGAUACACCUUCACAUGCUCAGCUCAUGGUUUUGCUUACUCCAGUCUUUAAAGCUUAGAAAUCACCAGUAGUCUCUGAAAAGCUGUGGAUACUUUAAAUGAAAUCUACACUGCAUUUUUCUUUUCUCUCUCUCUCUCUCUCUCUUUUUUUUUUUUUUUUUGGUCAUUCACUCAUCC